ACAUCCAAAAUUUGGUUGGUUUGCUUAGUCAGACUGUGUCGAAUUGUUGGGAUUUGGGCUCUGCCGAAUUUUUGUUUGGCUGACUUUAAAUAAUUUAGCCACAUCAUAUGAAAGUCUUGGGCGAUAAGGCGUAAUAGUUGGUACUCUUUCGAGUCCAUCCCUUUCGCUGAAGCCUGUCUUUUUUGUGAAAAUAUUGGCUCAACAAUAUGGAAAAUUGAAAAAAUUUAAUCUUUUUUCACCAUUG
rnacentral:misc_RNA from 1 species